rnacentral:rRNA from 1 species
UGGGGGAUAUUGCACAAUGGGCGAAAGCCUGAUGCAGCAACGCCGCGUGAGGGAAGACGGUUUUCGGAUUGUAAACCUCUGUCUUCGGCGAAGAAACAAAUGACGGUAGCCGAGGAGGAAGCCACGGCUAACUACGUGCCAGCAGCCGCGGUAAUACGUAGGUGGCAAGCGUUGUCCGGAAUUACUGGGUGUAAAGGGAACGCAGGCGGGGAGACAAGUCAGCUGUGAAAACUAUGGGCUUAACCCAUAAACUGCAGUUGAAACUGUUUUUCUUGAGUGGAGUAGAGGUAGGCGGAAUUCCGAGUGUAGCGGUGAAAUGCGUAGAUACUCGGAGGAACACCAGUGGCGAAGGCGGCCUACUGGGCUCUAACUGACGCUGAGGCUCGAAAGUGUGGGGAGCAAACA